GAGUGAUCGAAAGAUGAAAAGCACUUUGAAAAGAGAGUUAAACAGCACGUGAAAUUGUUGAAAGGGAAGCGCUUGCGACCAGACUCGCCCGCGGGGGUUCAGCCGGUACUCGUACCGGUGUACUCCCCCGGGGGCGGGCCAGCGUCGGUUUGGGCGGUCGGUCAAAGGCCUCCGGAAUGUGUCGCCCCCCGGGGCGUCUUAUAGCCGGAGGUGCAAUGCGGCCAGCCUGGACCGAGGAACGCGCUUCGGCUCGGACGCUGGCGUAAUGGUCGUAAGCGGCCC
rnacentral:rRNA from 1 species